UGGCUCAGAUAAAACGCUGGCGGCGUGCAUUACCAAUGCGAGUCGGACGGGCGUCUCUUUCGGGGGGCGUCAGUGGCGGACGGGUGCGUAACACGUGGGUGACCUGCCCAGACGUGGGGGAUACCCGCCCGAAAGGGUGGCUAAUACCGCGUGUGGCUCGCCGGAUCGAGCUGGCGAGCAAAGCUUUCUCGGAAGGGGGAGCGCGUCUGGAGGGGCCCGCGGCCUAUCAGCUGGUCGGUGGGGUAACGGCCUACCGAGGCGGCGACGGGUAGCCGGUCUGAGAGGACGAACGGCCACAGUGGGACUGGAACAUGGUCCACAGCCCUACGGGGUUUAGCAUGGAGGAAUCUUGCGCAACGGCGGAGACGCCGGCGCAGCAACGCCGCGUGGAGGACGACGGCUCUCGGGUCGUAAACUCCUGUUGCUCGGGAAGAAGUACCUUUGGGGAGAGCCUGAGGGGAAGACGGUACCGGGCGAGGAAGCCCCGGCUAACUACGUGCCAGCAGCCGCGGUAAUACGUAGGGGGCGAGCGUUAUCCGGAUUCAUUGGGCGUAAAGGGCGCGUAGGCGGCCCGCAGCAGUGGCGCGUGGAAUCUCCCGGCUCACCCGGGAGGGGCCGUGCCAGACGGGCGGGCUGGAGGCGAGUAGAGGUGCGCGGAACGGGCGGAGUAGGGGUGAAAUCCGUAGAGACCGUCCGGAACACCGGUAGCGGAGGCGGCGCACUGGGCUCGUACUGACGCUGAGGCGCGAAAGCGUGGGGAGCGAACGGAAUUAGAUACUCCGGUAGUCCACGCCCUAAACGAUGGCCACUCGGUGUCGGGGGUAUCGACCCCCCCGGUGCCCCAGCGAACGCGGUAAGUGGCCCGCCUGG
rnacentral:rRNA from 1 species